UCCUCACAGAUCGAAUCUCUCUCCCAGACCUGUGCGCCUCUCCCAGCACCGGAGGCCAGCCGCCGCCGUCCCUCCCGCGCCCCUGCACCGCGCUCCUCCUGCUCUCUGCCCCAUCUAUCCCUCCGGCAGCCGCGCCUCUCCCUCCGGCGACCGCACCUCUCCCUGCCUCCUCCGUUCGUCCCUGCCCCAGCGUCCUUUGCCCUUACCCUAACCCUAGCUCCUCGAGGAUCGAGGCAGAAAACGGCGGCGCUCUGAUCCAGCCCCUAGAAGAAACGGAACAAUAGACUGAACUAUGAGCCGCCGCCGUUGCUCGCCGGCAUCGGCACCACCGCUGGAAGACGAGGACCUUCUCCAGGAGAUCCUCCUGCGCCUCCCUCCCUCCCUCGUGCGUCCGCCGUCUGCAAGCGCUGGCGCAGCAUCCUCUCUGACCCCCAAUUCGUCCAACGCUUCCGCAAACACCAUGGAAAACCCCCACUCAUCGGCUUCUUCAGCCAAAGAUAUGGCGUAUUCUGUGACUUCAAACCCGUCCUGGAACUGCCUGACCGCAUACAUGCCCAUCGUUUCUCCAUGCCCAAGAGCCGCAGCUCAAUGGAGCAGUGGCGCUUCAUGGGCGGCCGCAACGGGCUCGCUGUCCUGAUCAACGAGUGUCGGCGCGAGGCCGUCGUGUGGGAUCCUCUCUCCGGCCGGCAACAUCGCGUGCCUUUCCCACCAGGACUCCACGAUGCCCUAACGGGUAGUUUCUGUGUAUGGCAUGCCUCGGUGUUGUGCGCUGAUGCCGAACAUGGGCACGUGCUUGGCGAUUGCAUCUUGGUCCCGUUCAAAUUGGUCUUGAUCUGCAAUGGAUACAACCAGGCAUUUGGUUCUCUCUAUGACUCGUCGUCUAGUUCUUGGGGAAAUAUUUUCUCGACGGCGAUAGCAAAUGAAAUUUAUGCCAGAAGGGGCAGCAUCCUUGUUGGAAAUGUGCUUUGCUAGUUUAUUUGUGGAGGUGAUGUCCUUGUGUUUGACAUCCAAAUGCAGAGUCUUGGUGUGAUCGAGAAGCCGGCAGACAACCAUGUUACCAUUGACUUGUUUUUUCAGCUCUUGCGGACGGAGAAUAGUGGACUAGGCCUUGCUGUUUUGUCGGAACGGAUCAUCCAAUUAUGGGAGAGGAAACCUAACUGUGAUGGUGUUGUCGGAUGGGUGUUGCUGUAGAAAACCAUUCCUUUGAAGGGGUUGCUUCCAAGCACAAAGCCUUUGGUACUUAUCGUGGGGUAUGAUGAGGACACAAAUGUGAUUGUUCUGUCUACGGGGAUUGGCAACUUCAUGCUCCAACUUGACUCAGUGCAGAUCAAACAUAUCAUUAAAAGAAAUGGCAUGUGCAUCGACAUGUUUUAUCCCUACCAUAAUUUCUACACUGCAGGCAGGGGAGUUGGGUGGAAAUGGGUGGAGCUGGAACUUUGAACUCUUGUGAUCUAGUAAUGUGCUAUCUUGGUUGAAUGAGUGAGGUACCCAGGGUUAUACAUGGGUUGCUAAAAUGAAGAAAAAUGUCUAAUUUGUUUGGUCUCCUCCAUAUGCUGAAGCAUGCGAUGUGGUUGACGCUAAGAUUGCACCUCUGUAGUAUGUCGGUUGUUCUACUUUUAUGUACGGUUGUAGAUUGCACCUCUGUAGUAUGUCGGUUGUUCUACUUUCAUGUACGGUUGUCUGGGAAGUGGACUUUGUUGGAUUUAAUUGUCUGAGCUUGUGUUUGUUAUUAAUGACUUGUAGAGUUGCUUGGGUUAAUUGUCUUUGUGAAGUCAGUAUCUAUAUACAAUUUAUCUUCUGAGUCUU